GAUCUGGCUCAGGAUGAACGCUAGCUACAGGCUUAACACAUGCAAGUCGAGGGGCAGCAUGGUCUUAGCUUGCUAAGGCCGAUGGCGACCGGCGCACGGGUGAGUAACACGUAUCCAACCUGUCGUCUACUCUUGGACAGCCUUCUGAAAGGAAGAUUAAUACAAGAUGGCAUCAUGAGUCCGCAUGUUCACAUGAUUAAAGGUAUUCCGGUAGACGAUGGGGA
rnacentral:rRNA from 1 species